AUUAACACAGACCGAAUGAAGCAGAGAGAGAGAGAGAAUAAAAGAUUAUAGUGAGAUUAGUAAAAAUUUCAAAUAUUAUAUUUUAUAUAUUUUAUAGACUUACUUUCUUUUUCUUAUCUUUCUUAUCCUUUCCUUUGUCUUUCUCUU
rnacentral:ribozyme from 13 species